GACGAACGCUGGCGGCGUGCUUAACACAUGCAAGUCGAGCGGUAAGGCCCUUUCGGGGGUACACGAGCGGCGAACGGGUGAGUAACACGUGGGUGACCUGCCCUCAGCUCUGGGAUAAGCCUGGGAAACCGGGUCUAAUACCGGAUAUGACUCCAUGACGCAUGUUGUGGGGUGGAAAGCCUUGUGCGGCUGAGGAUGGGCCCGCGGCCUAUCAGCUUGUUGGUGGGGUGAUGGCCUACCAAGGCGACGACGGGUAGCCGGCCUGAGAGGGCGACCGGCCACACUGGGACUGAGACACGGCCCAGACUCCUACGGGAGGCAGCAGUGGGGAAUCUUGCGCAAUGGGCGAAAGCCUGACGCAGCGACGCCGCGUGAGGAUGACG
rnacentral:rRNA from 1 species